CCUACGGGUGGCUGCAGUGGGGAAUUUUCCACAAUGGGCGAAAGCCUGAUGGAGCAACGCCGCGUGUGUGAUGAAGGUCUUCGGAUCGUAAAGCACUUUCGACCGGGACGAAAAACCUCUGGCUAACAUCCAGGGGCCUGACGGUACCGGGAGAAGAAGCACCGGCUAACUCUGUGCCAGCAGCCGCGGUACUACAGAGGGUGCAAGCGUUGUUCGGAAUUAUUGGUCGUAAAUCGCGUGUGGGCGGCUUGAAAGCCCAUGGCUUAACCAUGGAAGUGCGUCUGAAACUGCCGAGCUUGAGUGCCGGAGAGGAUGGCGGAAUGCCGCAAGUAGAGGUGAAAUUCGUAGAUAUGCGGAGGAACACCGGUGGCGAAGGCGGCCAUCUGGACGGUAACUGACGCUGAGACGCGAAAGCGUGGGGAGCAAACAGGAUUAGAUACCCCGGUAGUC
rnacentral:rRNA from 1 species